CACUCGGGGGCGGAGCCGAGGAGAGGCGUGUUCCGGGAGACGGAGGAAGUGGCGGGCAGUUCGGCCCCGGGGAUGGCAGCCACCACCUGCAUGGUUGCCCGCGGGCGCCCGGGACAGCCAGGCACGUCAGGUCCGCUGAGACUGCACGGUUCAGGCCAAAGGCAAUGCGGAAGUGAUCAACCCGGGAAAAGGAGAAAUAAAGGAGAAAGCCUCUCCACGACUGUCCUUCUCCAGAGAAAGCGAUAAAUCGGCCGCCGGCCUCAUCCUAGCGGUGAAGAUAAAAAAACGCUCUGUUACAAACUCCCUGACGCUAUCACGUGACUCGUGUACCAGCCUUCCGUGCUCCUAACUUCCAACUACAAACAUAAACACCAUCAUGUACUGCCUGGAGAAGCGAACCUAGAACAGUAUCAGACUAUUCACCAUCCAAGGGGCCCAGCCAUCACAGCCAUCCUGCCCUGAC